UUGAAGACAUUAGAUGCCUUACACAUGAAAAAACAUUUAUUUUGAAAUGAAUAUUUAAUGUUGAUUGAUACUUGUUUUAUUAUCGUGCUAAUUCUGUACUUUAUUUUAUUGCACGCAUUAGAGUUUAUUGUUUUAGACAAAUGUGGCAUAUGUGAUUACAAAAUGCAAUGAAGUGAGUGACCGUAAAAUGGCUACUUUAUCAAAUAAGCACGAAGGUGAUCUGUAAGUAGAAGUACAUCAGUAGAGGAUAACGGAAGCGAGCAUCAAGCAGAAACGUGUAACCGCAUAAGUGAUUAAAAUUGUUCGUUACCAACACAAGGCCUCGGAGAAAGGUGGAUAAAAAAUCUGAGGAAUGAGGUCUGUGCAUGAUUUAGGAAUUGUGUUAAAUCAUUCAACCACACAUUCAAUGAGGAAUGAGAUUGUCUUUGAUGUGUCAGAAGUCUUCACUAAAGCAAUACAAAUGAAGAAAGAUUUAGAACACCUUUAUGACCAAAUAAUUGAAUUUGAAAGAAGAUUAGAUUGGGAAUAUUAUGAAUUGUUUUCAAACUGUAUGGUGGUUCUUUGGCAACAAAACUGAAAGAUCACAGAAAUGCUGUUUUAAAGGAUUUCACCAUUGUCGUAGCAGGUGACACAACAUCCCUUGUGCGCAGUUUUAUGAACGUAUUAGCUGGCACGGAAGUUAUUUCGUACUUUCUCGUCACUGAACCAUCAAUCCUCUGUUCCGUCCACGCCAUACAAGAUGGAAAGGAACAGUACAUCAAGCUUCAGAUGGAGAAAAACACUAAGGAUACAUUACCAUGCGGCAAAAAUAUUUCUGUACAAGAAACAAGGGAAACAAUUCAGACAAUAUUAAAAAUGAUAACAUGUCAUCGUGUAAACUUUUACUGGCAUCUUUAACAUUUUAAAACUGCGGUAAAUGCAAAACAUCUGUAUUUAUACAUUAAGGUUAUUAAGUUAUUCAUUGAAUUAAAUUAGUUGAUAAAUAUAUCAUCAUCAAGUUGAUGACAUGUCAUUAUUUAGACCGUUGUUGGUUGUGUUAUGGUAUAUUAAACCUUUUGCAGGAACACGUGAACAUAAUAUGUUACCCUAUCAAUGAUCCCAAACAAAUGGCUAGCUUCGUAUCCGAAGUAUCAGUUCUCAUAUAUGUUUUACACAGGACUACUACUUGUUCAAACGGAGAUAAGGUGGGAUUAUUUCGAAGCACUUACCAUUAGCCGAAUUGUAGAAGCAACGUUCCUAAGUAUGACUCCUGUGAAAUUUUAACACAUUCCCUGAUGUAUUAAGAUGUUUGAUUUUCGAUGUUUACGACCGUGUCAAACAUUAGUAACUCUAGACGUGCAUUUGAGCAAAUGUCAUAAAUAAUACAUGGAAUUAUUAUUAAUGUAUCAAUUAAAUAUAUAUGAUAUGCAUACAUGUAAUUCAGUUAAAGCAGUAAAUGCAGACGUGUAAACAUAUACACGAGAACAAAUAACCAUUCAGCUUCAAUAGUUUCGAUCCAAAGAGAAGUAUUCCUUAUAUGACUGUAGUGAAACCUUCUCAACACUCUUCAAGUAUCAACUUUUGCCCAAGUUCUAUGAAACUUUGUCUGAAUAUUUGCAAGAGUUGGAUCGCGGUUGAUAUUGAAAAUGGCUGCGGUUGGUUGAAAAUCAUUGCCUCAAAUAGGCGGAGUGUUGUUCGUACAUGGCUAUAGAGAAAAUUGUUAACACUCUGUUAGUCAUAUGUUUGGUUUUAAUAAUCAUGAAAAUGUUAUCAGGUCAAUU